AGAACGAACGCUGGCGGCAGGCCUAACACAUGCAAGUCGAACGCUCGUAGCAAUACGGGAGUGGCGCACGGGUGAGUAACGCGUGGGCACCUGCCCGGUGGUUUGGGAUAACCGUGGGAAACUGCGGCUAAUACCGGAUACGCCCCUAGGGGGAAAGAUUUAUCGCCAUCGGAUGGGCCCGCGUAGGAUUAGCUAGUUGGUGAGGUAACGGCUCACCAAGGCGACGAUCCUUAGCUGGUCUGAGAGGAUGAUCAGCCACACUGGGACUGAGACACGGCCCAGACUCCUACGGGAGGCAGCAGUGGGGAAUAUUGGACAAUGGGGCAAUCCUGAUCCAGCCAUGCCGCGUGACGUGAAGAAGGCCGUUCGGG
rnacentral:rRNA from 1 species